CCUACGGGAGGCAGCAGUGGGGAAUAUUGGACAAUGGGCGAAAGCCUGAUCCAGCCAUGCCGCGUGUGUGAAGAAGGCCUUCGGGUUGUAAAGCACUUUCAGUGGGGAAGAAAGCCUUGGGGCUAAUACCCUCGAGGAAGGACAUCACCCACAGAAGAAGCACCGGCUAACUCCGUGCCAGCAGCCGCGGUAAUACGGAGGGUGCGAGCGUUAAUCGGAAUUACUGGGCGUAAAGCGCGCGUAGGCGGUCUGAUAAGCCGGUUGUGAAAGCCCCGGGCUCAACCUGGGAACGGCAUCCGGAACUGUCAGGCUAGAGUGCAGGAGAGGAAGGUAGAAUUCCCGGUGUAGCGGUGAAAUGCGUAGAGAUCGGGAGGAAUACCAGUGGCGAAGGCGGCCUUCUGGACUGACACUGACGCUGAGGUGCGAAAGCGUGGGUAGCAAACAGGAUUAGAUACCCGUGUAGUC
rnacentral:rRNA from 1 species